UCUUGAUUUGUCUUUACAUAAAUGAGGAAAGCACUGUGAAUAAUUUAUUGCAUUGUUUUAAUACUUGUUUAUUCUUGUUUUAUAAGUUGUGGUGGGAGACUCUUUUACAUUUUCCCCUUUGUUUUGUCAUUCUAACCAUGUAGCUUGGCUUCUGCUUCUCAAGGAACUCUAAAGGGAAUAAAAUAACCCUAAAGUAUGGAUUAUCUCUGCUGUUGGAGUUUUGAAAUCUCAGGACCCAAGAUGGAACAUGGGGCAAAAACUGAUGCUGUGCUCCAGAAAUCUGAACUUAAGUCCAAGUGCCAGCAUGGACUUUUACCUCUAUGGGACUUAAUGGCUCUGCCUGAGACUGGGGAGAGGAGGAAUAGCAACUGAUGGUGUUUGCUUGAGGAGCUCCUCCAAGGAAGAGAAGAAAGAGGAGAAGCAGUGUAGGUAUAAGUUGUGAGCCUCAAGUGAGAGUGAAGUCUGGAGAGAGCAGGGAGCAGAAAUAACUCUGCAGUCUUGCAAGGUCAAGGAAGGAUCAAAAUUAUGCAAUUUGAAAGUUAUUUUUUUCCAAUACAAAUUGUUUAGGGUUUAAAGCUCUCCAUAUGUUCCUUUUAGACUUGCUGGAAGAGAAAGAUACAGAGGUCAUGAAAAACUUUGAGUACUAGGUAGUUUGAGCUCCUGUUUUACAUAGGUAUUUUAUUUUUAGAUAAGUGUUGUAAUAAAAGAGCCAAAUAGUAAAUUAAGCA
rnacentral:lncRNA from 1 species